GUCCAGACUCCUACGGGAGGCAGCAGUGAGGAAUAUUGGUCAAUGGGCUUACGCCUGAACCAGCCAAGUCGCGUGAGGGAAGACUGCCCUAUGGGUUGUAAACCUCUUUUGUCAGGGAGCAAUUGGCGCUACGUGUAGCGUUAUCGAGAGUACCUGAAGAAAAAGCAUCGGCUAACUCCGUGCCAGCAGCCGCGGUAAUACGGAGGAUGCGAGCGUUAUCCGGAUUUAUUGGGUUUAAAGGGUGCGUAGGGGGCGCUUCAGGUCACCGGUGAAAUACCGGGGCUCAACCCCGGGGCUGCCGUUGAAACCGGAGCGCUAGAAUUCCGAUGCCGUCGGAGGAAUGUGUGGUGUAGCGGUGAAAUGCAUAGAUAUCACACAGAACACCGAUUGCGAAGGCAUCU
rnacentral:rRNA from 1 species